rnacentral:tRNA from 1 species
AAAAAGGUAAGCUAAAUAAGCUACUGGGCUCAUACCUCAAUCAUAAAGGUCCACUCCUUUCCUUUUUA